AACUCAAUGGUCAGCAGAAAAGGGAGGAACUUGAAAGAGAGGUCUCUAUGCUUCAAAGGUUGUUGGAUCAAGAAGAAAAGGUUCAUGAGAUUUUGGAGAUGGUUUAUAAUCGGCCGAAUGGUGCAGCCAUAUCGAUUCCAAAUUUUCUUCCUCCCAAGACGAAAGAGCUUUUAACAGAAC